AGGACCCUGAUUGUCUCUCCUGGAGGUCCCCCACGCCCUUCACCACUCCUGUCCAUGGGAAGCACAGGAAGUGGACAAAGAGGCCCUACCUGGAGGGAGCUGCAUUUGGCCUUGGUGGGGCCUGAGCUCUGGACCCAGAAUAUAAAGAAUCUUUAUCUUUCAGCCACCUCAUCCUGACAGUGACAGGAGAACUGCCAGUCAGGGGAGGCAAAAAGGGACAGAGUGAGAGAGAAGCGAGAAGGCAGAAUGCAAAGGGAGAGAUCUGGUGACAAUGUCCUGGCAUCCUGGCACUCCAACAUGGCACGGUCUUGUUAUAUGAACAGAUGAACUCUUGCUCUGUUGCCCAGGCUGGAGUGCACUGGCUCGAUCUCUGCUCACUACAACCUCCGCCUCCAGGGUUCAAGUGAUUCUUCUGUCUCAGCCUCCUGAGUAUCUGGGACUGUAGAUCCAUUUCAGCUGACACCCUGACACUUCUCCACAUUUGAGGAGUGAGUCCUAUUUGGGAGGUAUUCACAGUCAUCAUCUUUGAUCACUAAUUACGUACAACAUCCUUACAACUAGCAGAUCUUGCACAGUCUCAACAAGAGUCCCUGAUGGUAGGUGAGAUCUUGCGGCUUCACCAGCCUAACUUCUGAGAUGAGAGACGUGAGUGGAGCUUUUCACCUGCUCCAGAUCUGCUCUGAAUGGUCUUUGUUAAGUGUGUGAAUUGAUACUAGAAACUGUUGAGAAGCACUUACAUUUGGGGAAAUUUUUCUGAGGCUGAGAAACUGGAAGACUCCUUGGCUCUGAAGGAGAACUUCAGAGCUGAUUGUCCACGCUCACCACAGGCCAAGGCUCCAUGGGGGAAGGACAGUGUGGAUACUGGAGGCCCAACUCCCUUGCCUAGCACCGUCUCCUGCCCUUGUGUUUCCCCAGCAUCUGAGACCUUCCUCCAUUGCAACAGCACCCCCCCACUGGUAGCAUAAGCACCUGGAUUUAUUUCCACUGUCCCAGCAGACUAGGAGCAUCCUGAGAGUAAGGGCUGUGGCUCGCUCAUCUCUCUAUGCCCAGCACAGAGUUUAGUGACUCUUCCCUGAAAGAAGGAAUGAAAGAUGAGUUCAUUUGAAUCCUGAACUGCAGGCCACUGGGUGUAAAAGGAAAGCAAAGCUCUCGCCCACCCACCCACACCUGAAAAUGUGGAUCCUUCAAACAAGUUUAGCAAACAGGCUUUGUUCUCAGGUACAGAGACAGCGUGACAUUGUGUGAGUUGCUCUUCCUUUCCCUCUGCCUCUUUAGUGUCUGAGCAAAAUGUUCUGCUUUUCAUUGUCGCUCUUCAAACAGCAUGUUAUUGUCAUGCUUCUGCCUCCUUUUAAUAAAGAGGAAUGAGGAGGGUUUUCUUGUACAUGCAAAAUUAACACAAAUCAAAACUGCUGCUGUUCUUUGAUCCGUCCUGGACUCUGAUUCGUGUCAGCCUUUUCAUUUUCCCACUGAGAGUGUACAGCUCAGGAAGGAUUACACGGGGAGGAAAACCGCUUACCACUUCCCAUUUGAUUAACACAAUUUAAUGCAGCAAUAAUGCCAGGGAAGUUCAUUACCAGGGAAAAGCUCUGAUGCAGGCUGCCCACAGUGUCUGGGGACGGGGUCUUUUUAUUUAAAAUGCAAUCAAGCCCCUAUGGUGAGUGGAUCCGUGAAAUCCUUCCUAAGCUGGGGAAGGUGGAAUUGCCAUUUAAUGUAGACAGACAAAAAUCCCUCCUGUUUGUACAGCUUUUGACAAUUUAUUCACGCUGUCUACGAAUAUUUAGUGUGGCUUCUUAUGCUCAAAACCUUGGGAUGAAGAAAACUGAAAGGGACUGUACCCUCAUUGUGCUUACAGCCUAGAAGGGGAAGUGGACGUUUUUCAAAGACGAGCACAUUGCUGACAGGUCAGGAUGUCAUGAAGGGGUCGCGCCAGGAGUGUGGGAGCAGGUGGUGCAGCACCUGUCUGGGAAAUCAGGGAAGACCACCCUGAAGAGGUGACAUACAGGCCAAGCUCAGAAGCAUGAGUAAGAGUUGAUGUGGAACAAACACAAAGGGGAGAGGUAGAGCUCUUGAAGUUAAGAAACUCCUGUGUGAGUUGCGAGGCAGCAGGAGCCUGGCCUGCUAGCAACACUGUCAAGUUGUCCAUGUGCCUGGGGCAGAUGGGGCAGGGGACAGAUGGGGAUGGCACUGGAGAAGAGUUUUGAUGUGCCCAAGGCCCCAGGCUGCCUCCUUCUUGCUCUGUGGCAGCCUGGUGUGAACAACGUAGAGUCUCCCUCAUGGCCAAGGAAAGAUCAGGAAUGUGUGAUCUCUCAGCCUGGGCAAGAUGGCGAAACCCCAUCUCUAUAAAAAAUAAAAAAAUUAGCCAGGUGUGGUUGGCGCACGCCUAUGUUCCCAGCUACUCAGGAGGCUGAGGUGAGAGGAUUGCUUGGGCCUGGAAGUUGGAGGCUGCAGUGAGCUGUGUUCAAACCACUGCACUCUAGCCUGGGUGACAGAGUGAGAUCCUGUUUCAAAAAAAAAAACAAAGAAAGAAAGAAGGCAAGAGACAGAGAGAGGGAGAGAAAGGAAGGAAGGAAGG